CCUACGAGUCGCAGCAGUGGGGAAUAUUGGACAAUGGGCGAAAGCCUGAUCCAGCCAUGCCGCGUGUGUGAAGAAGGCCUUCGGGUUGUAAAGCACUUUCAGUGGGGAAGAAAGCCUUGGGGCUAAUACCCUCGAGGAAGGACAUCACCCACAGAAGAAGCACCGGCUAACUCCGUGCCAGCAGCCGCGGUAAUACGGAGGGUGCGAGCGUUAAUCGGAAUUACUGGGCGUAAAGCGCGCGUAGGCGGUCUGAUAAGCCGGUUGUGAAAGCCCCGGGAUCAACCUGGGAACGGCAUCCGGAACUGUCAGGCUAGAGUGCAGGAGAGGAAGGUAGAAUUCCCGGUGUAGCGGUGAAAUGCGUAGAGAUCGGGAGGAAUACCAGUGGCGAAGGCGGCCUUCUGGACUGACACUGACGCUGAGGUGCGAAAGCGUGGGUAGCAAACAGGAUUAGAUACCCGAGUAGUC
rnacentral:rRNA from 1 species